rnacentral:rRNA from 1 species
UGAUGCAGCGACGCCGCGUGAGGGAUGACGGCCUUCGGGUUGUAAACCUCUUUCAGUAGGGAAGAAGCGAAAGUGACGGUACCUGCAGAAGAAGCGCCGGCUAACUACGUGCCAGCAGCCGCGGUAAUACGUAGGGCGCAAGCGUUAUCCGGAAUUAUUGGGCGUAAAGAGCUCGUAGGCGGUUUGUCGCGUCUGCCGUGAAAGUCCGGGGCUCAACUCCGGAUCUGCGGUGGGUACGGGCAGACUAGAGUGAUGUAGGGGAGACUGGAAUUCCUGGUGUAGCGGUGAAAUGCGCAGAUAUCAGGAGGAACACCGAUGGCGAAGGCAGGUCUCUGGGCAUUAACUGACGCUGAGGAGCGAAAGCAUGGGGAGCGAACAGGAUUAGAUACCCUGGUAGUCCAUGCCGUAAACGUUGGGCACUAGGUGUGGGGGACAUUCCACGUUUUCCGCGCCGUAGCUAACGCAUUAAGUGCCCCGCCUGGGGAGUACGGCCGCAAGGCUAAAACUCAAAGGAAUUGACGGGGGCCCGCACAAGCGGCGGAGCAUGCGGAUUAAUUCGAUGCAACGCGAAGAACCUUACCAAGGCUUGACAUGAACCGGUAACGCCUGGAAACAGGUGCCCCGCUUGCGGUCGGUUUACAGGUGGUGCAUGGUUGUCGUCAGCUCGUGUCGUGAGAUGUUGGGUUAAGUCCCGCAACGAGCGCAACCCUCGUUCUAUGUUGCCAGCACGUGAUGGUGGGGACUCAUAGGAGACUGCCGGGGUCAACUCGGAGGAAGGUGGGGACGACGUCAAAUCAUCAUGCCCCUUAUGUCUUGGGCUUCACGCAUGCUACAAUGGCCGGUACAAAGGGUUGCGAUACUGUGAGGUGGAGCUAAUCCCAAAAAGCCGGUCUCAGUUCGGAUUGGGGUCUGCAACUCGACCCCAUGAAGUCGGAGUCGCUAGUAAUCGCAGAUCAGCAACGCUGCGGUGAAUACGUUCCCGGGCCUUGUACACACCGCCCGUCAAGUCACGAAAGUUGGUAACACCCGAAGCCGGUGGCCUAACCCCUUGUGGGAGGGAGCUGUCGAAGGUGGGACUGGCGAU